rnacentral:rRNA from 2 species
UUAAUUGAAGAGUUUGAUCAUGGCUCAGAUUGAACGCUGGCGGCAGGCCUAACACAUGCAAGUCGAGCGGCAGCACAGAGGAACUUGUUCCUUGGGUGGCGAGCGGCGGACGGGUGAGUAAUGCCUGGGAAAUU